CCUCCUCGUUGUGCAAUAAACCAGUGAAUCAGUGAAUCAUUGCCAGCGAAUCGGUGAGACAGUGAAUCAGUGAAUCAUUGCCAGCGAAUCGGUGAGACAGUGAAUCAGUGAAUCAUGCCAGUCGGUGAGACAGUGAAUCAGUGAAUCAUUGCCAGUGAAUCGAUGAGUCAAUGAAUCAGCGAAUUAGUGAAUCACAGUCGGUGAAUCGAUGCCAGUGAAUCGGUGAAUCGGUGAAUCGGUGAGAAAGCGACUCUUCUCCCUCCCCCCCCCACACACACACCCCUUCGUCCCCCUCUUCAAGAUGGACCGAAGACGCUCCUUGUGGGACACCCUCGCCUCCGACAUGCAGACCUUCUCGGCUCUGGGAGAAGAUCGGCUCAGCGAGAGGAAGUCACUCACGACAAUCGACAAACUCCCAGACAAAGUGCUGCUGAACAUCUUCUCUUAUCUGCCUCACCGCGAGAUCAUCUCCAACGCGAGAGUCUGCAAGAAAUGGCGGCAGAUCGCUUACGACACCAGACUGUGGAGUUGCGUGUCCCUGCGGCCGGAGUGGCAGGGCCUCCACGUCAACAACAUCGAGGCUUUGAUGUUCCUGAUCAGCAACCGCUUCGGGUCGUCCCUGAGGUACCUGGAGGUGCCCAUGGACCUGAUCACCCACGUCGUCCUCCACGAGCUGACCUCCAAGUGCCCGAACCUCACCAACCUCCUCCUUGACUUCUCCACCGCCAUGCAGCUCCAUGACUUCAAUGACAUGCAGGUAGGCCUAUGGAGGAUCUUUUUUUUUUUGUUUUAUUUUUUUUAUUUAUUUAUUUUCAUUUUCAUUUUCUUUUUAGGCUAGGUCAGAAAAUUUACAUCCUUCAUCACCCGGUCUGAAGUCUUGCAUCUUGUGGGAACCUACGAGAAGGCGGACGAGGAGGAGGAGGAGAUCUAGGUCAUCAACAUCCCGAAGCUGAAGUCGGCGACGCCCAACCUGAAGGUGGUCAACCUCUACGGGAUCAACUUCGUCGACGACUCCCACAUCGAGGCCUUCAGCUCCAACUGCAUCCAGCUGGAGUGCCUCGCCGUCAACUUCUGUGCCAAGGUGACCGGCACUUCCUUGAAGAUUCUCCUCAGCAGGUGCAAGAAGCUCAAGUGCCUCCUGAUGCAGCAGUGCAGCCUGCAGAACGAGAACGUGAUGGCCGCCGAGUGGGAGAAGUCAGCGGUGUCAGAGCUCGACGUCACGGCCACGGACCUCUCAGCUGACUGCCUCAUCGACCUGCUGACUCGCAUCCCGGCUCUCAGGUGGCUCAGCGCCGGUCAGCUGGAUGGCUUCACUGAUGCGGUCCUGAAGGCGUGGACGGAGCGGGGCAACCUGAAGGCCCUCAUCGGCUUGGACCUCGAGCUGUGCGACAACCUGACGGAGGAAGGACUCUACAAGUUCCUGGCGAGGUACGGGCAGGGACUCCGCGGUCUCGUCCUCUCUGGCAUCCCCCAGUGCACGGAUUCUCUCUGCUCGAACGUCAUGCCGGCGCUCAAGAAUAUCAGAAUCCUGAAGCUGGGUCUGGCGGAGAACCUCGCCUACCGCAUGGCCGGCAAGAUCCACGUGGACGGACUGCUGGAGAACCUGUCUCGUUACGGCGCCAAGAUCGAGCGGCUGGAACUCAGCUGGGACCCGGAGACGCUGCGAUAUUCGGAUAAGAGUCAGAAGUGCAUCGACACGCUGAGGGUCCGGUGUCUGAACCUCAAGUGUUUGGUGUUGUGCGACGGCAAAUACUACGAGAUCGUCAAGGCCAACUUCGAGCGCGCGGACCGAACCACCGUCGUCCGGACGUCCACCAACUGCUGCGUGUCCAUCGUCUACCUCCUGACGCACUACAAGGACCUCGUCUUCAAUUAAGGGCGAGAGAGAAGGAGAGGGAAGAGAGAAGGAGAGGGAGGAAGAGAGAAGGAGAGAGAGGAAGAGAGAAGGAGAGGGAGAGGAAGAGAGAAGAGAGAGGGAGAGAGAAGAGAGAGAAGGAGGAGGAGGUCGAGAGGAUGGUGAAGAAAAGAUGGUUUUGAUCAAGGAAGGUUUCUUUUCUUCUUCUUCAAAAAAAUUUUUUAUUUUUUUUUCUUCUUUUUCAAAAUGAUUAUUUUUUUUUUUUAUUAUUUAGCACGGGGUGUUGUUAUAGGGAAAUAAGGUUCUGAUUUUUUUCUUGAAUGGAGAAUAGAUUCGAAAUGGAGAAAUGGAUAGAUUAUAUCCGAAACGGGGGAAAAAGGUAGAAUAAGAAAGAAUUAGCAUGAUGAUAAGAGAGAUUAUAUAACUUAUAUAACAGAAUUCAAAUGAUGGGGAAGAGAACAUCAGAAAAUGGAAAUAAAACAGGAAGAGAGGGAAAGGACACAAUAAAAUAGGAUUCAAAAGGGAAGAAGGAUUAGAAUAAGAGGCAAAGAAACGAAAAUGAGGGAUUGCCUGAGGUGGUUGAGAAAAGAGGAAAAAAAUAAUAUGAAAAUGGAGAAGAUGAGCAGAGACAGCGCAUUUUGAGGUCAAGAAUGACGAUAAUGAGGCACAGAUAGAUAACUGGCAUAGGGAGAAAGAAGUAAAAGGAGGUAAUAAAACAGGCGAGUAAAAUAAGGGAGGAUUCAUAUGGGAAGACACAUCAAAAUGUGAAUCCCUUUCGAAAAAGCAAUAUCGAGAAAAAUUAAAAGACAAUAUCUAUGAAAGGAAAACAAAACACGGAUGUAUUUAUUACUAGAAAAUCCCCCACAAUGUCAGAAAAGGAUAUAAAGGAAAAGAAAAUAAUAAUAUCAUAUAUGAACCUCCAAGAUGUAAACAUAAGGGUGUUCGAUUCGCGGUAUAGAGGAUUAAAACCACGCCGAGCGAUUAGCUUUUGUCUAACCGAUGCGUCUAUUUUCAUAAACGUGUAGCAGUGCCUUAUUCAUGCUUUAUCAUCACGUGAUACGCGGUUGCCUUCUUGCACCGUCCAGAACUGCAAUAGUUGCAAUACCUUAGUCCCGUCGUGGCUUUGGGGAAUAUUGAAAAUUAUUGCUAGGUUUCCAGUGAGCGAAAAAAAUUCACAAUCCUGUUAUUUUAACCGUGGAUAAUGAUUCUCCAGUUCCCGCAAAAUCAUCAUUCAUUAUACACGGUCUAGUCAGUUGCAGUUGUUAUCUUAUUUGUAAAUUGUUUGUUCCUAUCUUAUUAAAUGUUAUAUCUGAAU